UGUACAUCUGCCUUCCCUAUAGAGCUUUGUGGACACCACCUGGACAGGUGGUGAAAUGUAGGAAAAGGGACACCGGCAGAUUGUGGCUGUAAAGAUCCCUAAACGCUUCAGCUCUGAAACCCUGGAUGAGGUUUCCAUGCUGAGAAAGAUGAAGCGCCUAGAUAUUGGGAAAUACAACAUUGUUGAGUUUAUUGACGCUUUCCCCACCCAAUUUGGAAAUGCGUUGGUGUUUGAGGCGUUGGAUAUAAGCCUGUAUGACUACUGUAUCUUGGCAAGACAAAUUGUGAACCUAUGCAUCUGAGUGACAUCAGAGCCAUCAUCAAACAGUUGGCCACAGCACUUGACGCGCUGAAGAAGAGCGGGAUAAUCCACACUGAUGUCAAAUGCGACAACAUAAUGAUGGUGAAUCAUCAACUACGACCCCUCCAAGUCAAGCUGAUAGACUUCGGCGUGGCCAUUUCCACGUCACGUGCCAGGCAGGGCAUGCGUCUGCAACCACUGAGUCUUCGGUCUCCAGAAAUUAUUUGUGGCCUUCCAUUUUCUGAGGCCAUUGAUAUGUGGUCCCUGGGCUGUGUGAUGGCCUUGAUGUUCCUCGGCAACCGACUGUUCGAAGCCCCAUCUGAGUAUGAAUUAGUAAGUCCUCUACUAUAGUCAGACAGUUUGUCAGUGACUUGGAUUUCUUAAAGAAAGCGUUGGUCUUAUUGUUCAAAUAGAUGAAAAUGCUCUAAAUGUACUUUGAGUCUGGCAGAGGGAAGUCAAUGUAACAGUGAGUGUGUCUGUGUGUGCAUGUUUAGUUUCCAGACUGUCGAGGUCAAGACAUCAAGGAACUCAGGCUUCGCUUCUUCGAACGAGAGCUUCGAAUGUGACCCUCCUGUCACCCCACUGAAGGAUGAAGACAGCAGUAACUUCUGCCCAGACGACAGCAAUCCAUCCCCUGAAACUCUCUCAUCAGGCCCAAAAGCCGAAAGCACGGUGCUGUACGAAGAUCAGAGUCCUGUUAGGUUUGAGUCUGAGCUGAGCAAGACGUCAGAGCCCUCAGUGACGCAUAGCGACAGUAGCACGAGCCCCUUAAUAUCUGAAGACUCAGAAGACCGUGGGAGAAGGAAGAAUUGCUUCCAAUGCUUCUUCUCUUGGAUGAAGAAGACCUUCUGCUGCUGCUGUGUUACCGACGUUGAUGUUGAUUAGGGAAGUGUGAAGUUUCCUCUAACCCUCCUCCCUAAGUUACAGUUUUCUCCGGGUUGCUCCGGUUCACCAACAUUUACAUUUGUAACAAAAAAAAAAUCUGAAUUCAGGGAUUGCGUCGUGGGCAGCGAUGACUAAAUCACCUUCCCCAACUUUUUUCCUCUUUUAACAUCUCAAAGCAUGAAUUUCGUCUUGAAGGAAACAGGUUUUCAAACCACCACACCUUCAAUUUCCCCUGACUGGUUUAGAAGGUCAGAUGAAGUGGAGGGUAGCUGUGGUCCAGUAUUAGGGAACUGCUUUCCUUCACAGUGGAGCUACGGUGGGAAAUGUUUGGGCCAGAUGGAAAGUCAGUUUUAACACUCACUGGCCUCAGCGCUGGUCAGGGUUGGAUUACCAGCCUCAAUCAUUGCUGUGUGGAGAUUAUUGACUCCCUGAGUUAGAACGGUUUACUUCGGGUUGCUCUAUUUAAUUCUGAAAUGGACAGAGAGCCAGUUAAGAAAUGUUUGGAUAAGAGUGAUGUGAUGUCAUCUAUUAAAAGCAUUAAAAGGAAUAGUUGCUGCACUCUGGACGAGUCGGAGGCCGGAGAAAGACUUCUGUGUGUUACCAGAAGGAAAGGAGGUCCAGUAAUCCAGCCAGGAAAAGAUCAGUGUGCAGGAACUGCUUCUUCCAGGCUCAUUUCUGCUGGAUCACGGGCCCAUGGGAACAGCUGUGAUGCGACAUCUAUUGCAUAUCUGUCUGUUCCUCCUCUGUGGCUCUUCUUGGGGUUUCUCCCAUCUUUUUUCCCCCUUUAAAAGGGUUUUUUCUCUCUCAAUAUGGCGAUUUUUCAUUUGAACCGAGGGUGUAAGGACAGACAUGUAACUUAAUGUCUGUACUAAUAGCAAAGGUAUGUCUGUAACAUUUCUUGUAACCGAAUUAUCACAAAUCACAAAUGGCCAAAGUGUUUGCAGUUUAUAUCAUAAUCAGGGAAUAGCAUUUACAUCAUCACUGGCAAUACUAUUUUUUACAGUGAUAUUAUACGUUUGUAUGUCUAAUAUCUUUGAUUAGGCCUAUAUUUUGAAAGUAGACUGUUAUUAACAUGAUUUACA